rnacentral:rRNA from 1 species
GUGCCAGCAGCCGCGGUAAUACGUAGGGGCCUAGCGUUGUCCGGAUUUAUUGGGCGUAAAGAGCUCGUAGGCGGUUUGGUGAGUCGGGUGUGAAAUCUCCACGCUCAACGUGGAGGGGCCACCCGAUACUGCCAUGACUAGAGUCCGGUAGGGGAGUGUGGAAUUCCCGGUGUAGCGGUGAAAUGCGCAGAUAUCGGGAGGAACACCAGUAGCGAAGGCGACACUCUGGGCCGGUACUGACGCUGAGGAGCGAAAGCGUGGGGAGCAAACAGGAUUAGAUACCCUGGUAGUCC